CCUANGGGCGGCAGCAGUAGGGAAUAUUGCGCAAUGGACGAAAGUCUGACGCAGCAACGCCGCGUGUGGGAUGAAGUUUCUUGGAACGUAAACCACUGUCAGGAGGGACGAAAGGUCGCGGAUCUAAUAUAGCCGCGAUUUGACGGUACCUUCAGAGGAAGCUCCGGCUAACUCCGUGCCAGCAGCCGCGGUAAUACGGGGGGAGCAAGCGUUGUUCGGAAUCACUGGGCGUAAAGGGUGCGCAGGCGGGAGAUUAAGUUGGGUGUGAAAACCUCGGGCUCAACCCGGGGCCUGCACUCAAAACUGGUCUUCGUGAGUAUCGGAGAGGAAAGCGGAACUCCAGGUGUAGCGGUGAAAUGCGUAGAUAUCUGGAGGAACACCGGUGGCGAAGGCGGCUUUCUGGCCGAAUACUGACGCUCAUGCACGAAGGCUAGGGGAGCAAACAGGAUUAGAUACCCUUNUANUC
rnacentral:rRNA from 1 species